CAGCCGCCGCGGGAAUACGUAGGGUGCAAGCGUUAAUCGGAAUUACUGGGCGUAAAGCGUGCGCAGGCGGUUAUAUAAGACAGAUGUGAAAUCCCCGGGCUCAACCUGGGAACUGCAUUUGUGACUGUAUAGCUAGAGUACGGCAGAGGGGGAUGGAAUUCCGCGUGUAGCAGUGAAAUGCGUAGAUAUGCGUAGGAACACCGAUGGCGAAGGCAAUCCCCUGGGCCUGUACUGACGCUCAUGCACGAAAGCGUGGGGAGCAAACAGGAUUAGAUACCCCCGUAGUCCCUGUCUCUUAAUA
rnacentral:rRNA from 1 species